CACUGUCACUCCUACGGGAGGCAGCAGUGGGGGAAUAUUGCACAAUGGGCGCAAGCCUGAUGCAGCCAUGCCGCGUGUGUGAAGAAGGCCUUCGGGUUGUAAAGCACUUUCAGUCGUGAGGAAGGUAGUGUAGUUAAUAGCUGCAUUAUUUGACGUUAGCGACAGAAGAAGCACCGGCUAACUCCGUGCCAGCAGCCGCGGUAAUACGGAGGGUGCGAGCGUUAAUCGGAAUUACUGGGCGUAAAGCGCAUGCAGGUGGUUUGUUAAGUCAGAUGUGAAAGCCCCGGGGCUCAACCUCGGAAUAGCAUUUGAAACUGGCAAACUAGAGUACUGUAGAGGGGGUAGAAUUUCAGGUGUAGCGGUGAAAUGCGUAGAGAUCUGAAGGAAUACCGGUGGCGAAGGCGGCCCCCUGGACAGAUACUGACACUCAGAUGCGAAAGCGUGGGGAGCAAACAGGAUUAGAUACCCUGGUAG
rnacentral:rRNA from 1 species